rnacentral:rRNA from 1 species
AGUGAACGCUGGCGGUAGGCCUAACACAUGCAAGUCGAACGGCAGCACAGGAGAGCUUGCUCUCUGGGUGGCGAGUGGCGGACGGGUGAGGAAUACAUCGGAAUCUACUCUGUCGUGGGGGAUAACGUAGGGAAACUUACGCUAAUACCGCAUACGACCUACGGAUGAAAGCAGGGGACCUUCGGGCCUUGCGCGAUUGAAUGAGCCGAUGUCGGAUUAGCUAGUUGGCGGGGUAAAGGCCCACCAAAGCGACGAUCCGUAGCUGGUCUGAGAGGAUGAUCAGCCACACUGGAACUGAGACACGGUCCAGACUCCUACGGGAGGCAGCAGUGGGGAAUAUUGGACAAUGGGCGCAAGCCUGAUCCAGCCAUACCGCGUGGGUGAAGAAGGCCUUCGGGUUGUAAAGCCCUUUUGUUGGGAAAGAAAUCCAGCUGGCUAAUACCCGGUUGGGAUGACGGUACCCAAAGAAUAAGCACCGGCUAACUUCGUGCCAGCAGCCGCCGUAA